GCUCGGCGAGCGGCCCCUCAUCCCGCUGCCGCGACCUUCUCCCCGCAGGCGGGGAGAAGGGGCAGGUGGGACCCGCCCGCGGCCCGAUGCCUCGGCGUUCCACGUCGUAAGUCCCCUCUCCCCGCGCGCGGGGAGAGGGUCAGGGUGAG
rnacentral:sRNA from 1 species